AUUGAACGCUGGCGGCAGGCUUAACACAUGCAAGUCGAGCGCCCCGCAAGGGGAGCGGCAGACGGGUGAGUAACGCGUGGGAAUCUACCCAUCUCUACGGAAUAACGCAUGGAAACGUGUGCUAAUACCGUAUACGUCCUUCGGGAGAAAGAUUCAUCGGAGAUGGAUGAGCCCGCGUUGGAUUAGCUAGUUGGUGGGGUAAAGGCCUACCAAGGCGACGAUCCAUAGCUGGUCUGAGAGGAUGAUCAGCCACACUGGGACUGAGACACGGCCCAGACUCCUACGGGAGGCAGCAGUGGGGAAUAUUGGACAAUGGGCGCAAGCCUGAUCCAGCCAUGCCGCGUGAGUGAUGAAGGCCCUAGGGUUGUAAAGCUCUUUCACCGGUGAAGAUAAUGACGGUAACCGGAGAAGAAGCCCCGGCUAACUUCGUGCCAGCCGCCGCUGUAAGAC
rnacentral:rRNA from 1 species